rnacentral:rRNA from 1 species
CCCUUGGGAGGCCGGGGUGCCUAAUUAAUGCAAGUCGAAGCGGGACAGAUGGGAGCUUGCUCCCUGAUGUUAGCGGGCGGACGGGUGAAGUAACACGUGGGUAACCUGCCUGUAAAACUGGGAAUAACUCCGGGAAACCGGGGCUAAUACCGGAUGGUUGUUUGAACCGCAUGGUUCAAACAUAAAAGGGGGCUUCGGCUACCACUUACAGAUGGACCCGCGGCGCAUUAUCUAGUUGGUGAGGUAACGGCUCACCAAGGCAACGAUGCGUACCCAACCUGAGAGGGUGAUCGGCCACACUGGGACUGAAACACGGCCCAAACUCCUACGGGAGGCAGCAGUAGGGAAUCUUCCGCAAUGGACAAAAGUCUGACGGAGCACCGCCGCGUGAGUGAUGAAGGUUUUCGGAUCGUAAAGCUCUGUUGUUAGGAAAAAUUAUUUACCGUUCGAAUAGGGCGGUACCUUGACGGUACCUAACCAAAAAGCCACGGCUAACUACGUGCCAGCACCCGCGGAAAUACGUAGGUGGCAAGCGUUGUCCGGAAUUAUUGGGCGUAAAGGGCUCGAAGGGCGGUUUCUUAUUUCAGAUGUGAAACCCCCUCGGUUAA